CCUACGGGGGGCUGCAGUGGGGAAUAUUGCGCAAUGGGCGAAAGCCUGACGCAGCGACGCCGCGUGAGGGAUGAAGGUCUUCGGAUCGUAAACCUCUGUCAGCAGGGAAGAACGGUCACUGUGCUAAUCAGCAGUGAAUUGACGGUACCUGCAAAGGAAGCACCGGGUAACUCCGUGCCAGCAGCCGCGGUAAUACGGAGGGUGCGAGCGUGAAUCGGAAUUACUGGGCGUAAAGCGCUCGUAGGCGGUAUAUCAAGUCAAGGGGGAAAUCCCCGCGCUCAACGUGGGAACUGCCUUUGAAACUGGCAAACUGGAGUGUGUGAGAGGAGAGUGGAAUUCCAGGGGUAGGAGUGAAAUCCGUAGAUAUCUGGAGGAACAUCAGUGGCGAAGGCGACUAUCUGGCACAUAACUGACGCUGAGGAGCGAAAGCGUGGGUAGCAAACAGGAUUAGAUACCCGAGUAGUC
rnacentral:rRNA from 1 species